GUUUCUGUAGUGUAGUGGUUAUCACGUUCGCUUACGAGGUCCCUGGUUCGAAACCGGGCAGAAGCA
rnacentral:tRNA from 1 species